rnacentral:lncRNA from 1 species
AAAUUCUCACUUUCCAUUGUUAAAGGACAAUAUUUUCUGCAAAUUUCUUUCGGGGACCUAUGAGCGCAACCACCAUACAUCAAAGGGACUGAAAAUAAAUCUUCUUCAGUAAAUUCUGCUGUACCCGUGGCCUAUAUAUGCAAGUUAACCGUUCCUCCUUUCUUCAAACUUUCAAAACUAGAUUUGUGCUCAACACUAAGGAAAGAUAGGUUAUCAUUCAACUGAUUUGACCUUCCAAAAAUAGCAAAAAGAGUUUUCUUGUAGUAUGCGUCAUCAUCUAUCCCAAGAUCCAACGAACUUAGUUUCAUAUGAUUGCCUUCUUGAAGCUCUUUCAAUUGAAUGUGGCUCAUGUUUUCAUCAUUUGAAGAAGGAAACCCCUUUGCUUGAUUCACAAGAGAAGAAGACAACUACUACUGCUCUUUUCUUCUUUUUAAUUUUAUUUUCUGUUAGAUUUAAAUUUAAUUUUCUGUUUAGAAAUUAAAAGAAACCUAUUGAUGAAGACGAAGAGCAAGAUAUUGAAUUUAAAGAUGAGCAAUUGGGAAAAAUAGGAUAUGAAAAUUGAAUUUCUACAGCAAAAU